AAUAAGCCCCGGCUAACUACGUGCCAGCAGCCGCGGUAAGACGUGGGGGGCGAGCGUUGUCCGAAUUUACUGGGCGUAAAGAGCACGUAGGCGGCUACUUAAGUGGAGGGUGAAAUCCCGCGGCUCAACCGCGGAACUGCCCUUCAAACUGGGUGGCUUGAGAGUGGGAGAGGAGAGUGGAAUUCCUGGUGUAGCGGUGGAAUGCGUAGAUAUCAGGAGGAACACCCGUGGCGAAGGCGGCUCUCUGGCCCAUUUCUGACGCUGAGGUGCGAAAGCGUGGGGAGCGAACGGGAUUAGAUACCCCGGUAGUCCACGCCGUAAACGAUGGAUACUAGGUGUAAGUGGUAUCGACCCCACUUGUGCCGUAGCUAACGCA
rnacentral:rRNA from 1 species